rnacentral:rRNA from 1 species
AGCGAACGCUGGCGGCAGGCCUAACACAUGCAAGUCGAACGAACCCUUCGGGGUUAGUGGCGGACGGGUGAGUAACACGUGGGAACGUGCCUUUAGGUUCGGAAUAACUCAGGGCAACUUGUGCUAAUACCGAAUGUGCCCUUCGGGGGCAAGAUUUAUCGCCUUUAGAGCGGCCCGCGUCUGAUUAGCUAGUUGGUGAGGUAAUGGCUCACCAAGGCUACGAUCAGUAGCUGGUCUGAGAGGAUGACCAGCCACAUUGGGACUGAGACACGGCCCAAACUCCUACGGGAGGCAGCAGUGGGGAAUCGUGCGCAAUGGGCGAAAGCCUGACGCAGCCAUGCCGCGUGGAUGAUGAAGGUCUUAGGAUUGUAAAAUCCUUUCACCGGUGAAGAUAAUGACUGUAGCCGGAGAAGAAGCCCCGGCUAACUUCGUGCCAGCCGCCGCUGUAA